GGGUGGGGCUCUACCAUGCAGUCGACGAUGACCACUUCGGUGGGGAUUAGUGGCGAACGGGUGAGUAACACGUGGGCAAUCUGCCCUGCACUCUGGGACAAGCCCUGGAAACGGGGUCUAAUACCGGAUACUGACCCGCCUGGGCAUCCAGGCGGUUCGAAAGCUCCGGCGGUGCAGGAUGAGCCCGCGGCCUAUCAGCUUGUUGGUGAGGUAACGGCUCACCAAGGCGACGACGGGUAGCCGGCCUGAGAGGGCGACCGGCCACACUGGGACUGAGACACGGCCCAGACUCCUACGGGAGGCAGCAGUGGGGAAUAUUGCACAAUGGGCGAAAGCCUGAUGCAGCGACGCCGCGUGAGGGAUGACGGCCUUCGGGUUGUAAACCUCUUUCAGCAGGGAAGAAGCGAAAGUGACGGUACCUGCAGAAGAAGCGCCGGCUAACUACGUGCCAGCAGCCGCGGUAAUACGUAGGGCGCGAGCGUUGUCCGGAAUUAUUGGGCGUAAAGAGCUCGUAGGCGGCUUGUCACGUCGGUUGUGAAAGCCCGGGGCUUAACCCCGGGUCUGCAGUCGAUACGGGCAGGCUAGAGUUCGGUAGGGGAGAUCGGAAUUCCUGGUGUAGCGGUGAAAUGCGCAGAUAUCAGGAGGAACACCGGUGGCGAAGGCGGAUCUCUGGGCCGAUACUGACGCUGAAGGAGCGAAAGCGUGGGGGAGCGAACAGGAAUUAUAUACCCUGGUAGUCCACGCCGUAAAA
rnacentral:rRNA from 1 species